rnacentral:rRNA from 1 species
GAUGAACGCUAGCGGCAGGCCUAAUACAUGCAAGUCGAACGGUGUCUUCGGACAUAGUGGCGCACGGGUGCGUAACACGUAUGCAACCUACCUUACAUUGGGGGAUAGCCUUUCGAAAGGGAGAUUAAUACCACAUAAGACAGUAGCUGGGCAUCCAGCAGCUGUUAAAGAUUUAUCGAUGUAAGCUGGGCAUGCGUCCAAUUAGCUAGUUGGUGAGGUAACGGCUCAUCAAGGCAAUGAUUGGUAGGGGAACUGGGAGGUCAAUCCCCCACACUGGCACUGAGAUACGGGCCAGACUCCUACGGGAGGCAGCAGUAGGGAAUAUUGGGCAAUGGACGCAAGUCUGACCCAGCCAUGCCGCGUGCAGGAUGAAGGCGUUAUGCGUUGUAAACUGCUUUUAUACAGGAAGAAACGACUCUUGCGAGAGGCAUUGACGGUACUGUAUGAAUAAGCACCGGCUAACUCCGUGCCAGCGGCCGCUGUAACAC